rnacentral:rRNA from 1 species
GACGAACGCUGGCGGCGUGCCUAAUACAUGCAAGUAGAACGCUGAAGGAGGAGCUUGCUUCUCUGGAUGAGUUGCGAACGGGUGAGUAACGCGUAGGUAACCCGCCUGGUAGCGGGGGAUAACUAUUGGAAACGGUAGCUAAUACCGCAUAAUAGUAGAUGUUGCAUGACAUUUGCUUAAAAGGUGCAAUUGCAUCACUACCAGAUGGACCUGCGUUGUAUUAGCUAGUUGGUGGGGUAACGGCUCACCAAGGCGACGAUACAUAGCCGACCUGAGAGGGUGAUCGGCCACACUGGGACUGAGACACGGCCCAGACUCCUACGGGAGGCAGCAGUAGGGAAUCUUCGGCAAUGGACGGAAGGCUGACCGAGCAACGCCGCGUGAGUGAAGAAGGGUUUCGGAUCGUAAAGCUCUGUUGUAAGAGAAGAACGAGUGUGAGGGUGGAAAGUUCACACUGUGACGGUAGCUUACCAGAAAGGGACGGCUAACUACGUG